GCCGAUUUGGCUCAGUGGGUAGAGCCUCGGCCUGAGGACUGAAGGGUCCCAGGUUCGAUUCCUGGUCAGGGCA
rfam:Myotis brandtii contig164110, whole genome shotgun sequence.